rnacentral:piRNA from 1 species
UGAGAACGGGAAUAUAGCUGUGUGG